UACGUAGGGUGCAAGCGUUAAUCGGAAUUACUGGGCGUAAAGCGUGCGCAGGCGGUUAUGCAAGACAGAUGUGAAAUCCCCGGGCUCAACCUGGGAACUGCAUUUGUGACUGCAUGGCUAGAGUACGGUAGAGGGGGAUGGAAUUCCGCGUGUAGCAGCGAAAUGCGUAGAUAUGCGGAGGAACACCGAUGGCGAAGGCAAUCCCCUGGGCCUGCACUGACGCUCAUGCACGAAAGCGUGGGGAGCAAACAGG
rnacentral:rRNA from 1 species